rnacentral:rRNA from 1 species
GACGAACGCUGGCGGCGUGCUUAACACAUGCAAGUCGAACGGAAAGGCCCUGCUUUUGUGGGGUGCUCGAGUGGCGAACGGGUGAGUAGCACGUGAGUAACCUGCCCUUGACUUUGGGAUAACUUCAGGAAACUGGGGCUAAUACCGGAUAGGAGCUCCUGCUGCAUGGUGGGGGUUGGAAAGUUUCGGCGGUUGGGGAUGGACUCGCGGCUUAUCAGCUUGUUGGUGGGGUAGUGGCUUACCAAGGCUUUGACGGGUAGCCGGCCUGAGAGGGUGACCGGCCACAUUGGGACUGAGAUACGGCCCAGACUCCUACGGGAGGCGGCAGUGGGGAAUAUUGCACAAUGGGCGGAAGCCUGAUGCAGCAACGCCGCGUGCGGGAUGACGGCCUUCGGGUUGUAAACCGCUUUCGCCUGUGACGAAGCGUGAGCGACGGUAAUGGGUAAAGAAGCACCGGCUAACUACGUG